rnacentral:rRNA from 1 species
ACACGACUACAUUAGAUACCCGGGUAGUCCUAGCCGUAAACGAUACUCGCUAGGUGUCGGCCACGGUGCGACCGUUGUCGGUGCCGUAGGGAAGCCGUGAAGCGAGCCACCUGGGAAGUACGGCCGCAAGGCUGAAACUUAAAGGGAUUGGCGGGGGAGCACCACAACGGGUGGAGCUUGCGGUUUAAUUGGAUUCAACGCCGGAAAUCUUACCGGGACCGACAGCAACAUGAAGGCCAGGCUGAAGACUUUGCCGGAUUAGCUG